AAUAUUCGACAAUGGGGGCAACCCUGAUCCAGCCAUCCCGCGUGUGUGAUGAAGGUCUCCGUAGUGUAUAGCACUUUAAGUUGGGAGGAAGGGCUUUAGGUGAAUACCCUGAAGUGUUGACGUGACCAACAGAAUAAGCACCGGCCAACCCUGUGCCAGCAGCCGCGGUAAUACAGAGGGUGCAAGCGUUAAUCGGAAUUACUGGGCGUAAAGCGCGCGUAGGUGGUUCAGUAAGAUGGGUGUGAAAUCCCCGGGCUUAACCUGGGAACUGCUUUCAUAACUGCUGAGCUAGAGUACGGUAGAGGGUAGUGGAAUUUCCUGUGUAGCGGUGAAAUGCGUAGAUAUAGGAAGGAACACCAGUGGCGAAGGCGACUACCUGGACUGAUACUGACACUGAGGUGCGAAAGCGUGGGGAGCAAAC
rnacentral:rRNA from 1 species